rnacentral:ncRNA from 1 species
CGCAGGAAAACUGCGCGUCUCCGGCACUAGUACGAGAGGACCGUGCCGGACGGACCUCCGGUUUACCGGUUGUGGCGCCAGCCGCAUCGCCGGGUAUCCGCGUCCGGAUCGGAUAAGCGCUGAAAGCAUCUAAGCGCGAAGCCUGUCGCAAGAUAAGUUUUCCUUAUAGGGUCGUCAAAGACUAUGACGUUGAUAGGGUGCAGGUGUAAAGGCGGCGACGCCAAAGCCGAGCACUACUAAUUGCCCGA